rnacentral:rRNA from 1 species
GACAUAAGUAACGAUAAAGCGGGUGAAAAGCCCGCUCGCCGGAAGACCAAGGGUUCCUGUCCAACGUUAAUCGGGGCAGGGUGAGUCGACCCCUAAGGCGAGGCCGAAAGGCGUAGUCGAUGGGAAACGGGUUAAUAUUCCCGUACUUGGUGUUACUGCGAAGGGGGGACGGAGAAGGCUAUGUUGGCCGGGCGACGGUUGUCCCGGUUUAAGCGUGUAGGUGUGUGUUCCAGGUAAAUCCGGUUCACUUUAACACUGAGGCGUGAUGACGAGGCACUACGGUGCUGAAGCAACAAAUGCCCUGCUUCCAGGAAAAGCCUCUAAGCAUCAGGUAACAUCAAAUCGUACCCCAAACCGACACAGGUGGUCAGGUAGAGAAUACCAAGGCGCUUGAGAGAACUCGGGUGAAGGAACUAGGCAAAAUGGUGCCGUAACUUCGGGAGAAGGCACGCUGACAC